UACGUAGGGCGCAAGCGUUUGUCCGGAAUUAUUGGGCGUAAAGAGCUCGUAGGCGGCCUGUUGUGUUCCGCUGUGAAAUCCCCGGGGCUCAACCCCGGGCCUGCAGUGGAUACGGGCUGGCUGGAGGCAGGCAGGGGAGAACGGAAUUCCUGGUGUAGCGGUGAAAUGCGCAGAUAUCAGGAGGAACACCGGUGGCGAAGGCGGUUCUCUGGGCCUGUUCUGACGCUGAGGAGCGAAAGCGUGGGGAGCGAACAGG
rnacentral:rRNA from 1 species